rnacentral:rRNA from 1 species
ACGGAAGGCAGCAGUGGGGAAUAUUGGGCAAUGGGCGAAAGCCUGACCCAGCAACGCCGCGUGAAGGAAGAAGGUCUUCGGAUUGUAAACUUCUUUUAUGGGGGACGAAGGACGUGACGGUACCUCAUGAAUAAGCCACGGCUAACUACGUGCCAGCAGUCGCGGUAAUACGUAGGUGGCAAGCGUUAUCCGGAUUUACUGGGUGUAAAGGGCGCGUAGGAGGGGAUGCAAGUCAGAUGUUAAAUCUAUGGGCUUAACUCAUAAACUGCAUUUGAAACUGUAUCUCUUGAGUGCUGGAGAGGUAGACGGAAUUCCUAGUGUAGCGAUGAAAUGCGUAGAUAUUAGGAAGAACACCAGUGGCGAAGGCGGUCUACUGGACAGUAACUGACGCUGAGGCGCGAAAGCGUGGGGAUCAAACAGGAUUAGAUACCCUGGUA